CAACCCUCAAGCCCCCGGGCUUGGUGUUGGAGACCGGCGAGCCCUCCGGGGCACGCCGCCUCCCAAAUUUAGUGGCGGUCUCGCUGUAGCUUCCUCUGCGUAGUAGCACACCUCGCCCUGGGAAACAGCGUGGCCACGCCGUAAAACCCCCCACUUCUGAAA
rnacentral:misc_RNA from 1 species